CCGCUUCACCGGCACCCUGCUUAAAAGAAUAUAUAAUAAUAAUAAUAAACACUCACAGAUGUGAGUGUUGCACCUGGCAGUGGGGGGAAUUGCCGUGCCAAGUGCCAUCGUCACGCCGCCCUUCGCUAAGGAGCUUCGGUGGCGGUGAGAAAAUUGUAGUCCUAAUAAAAAAAUGAAAGCCUUAGGUAAGGCUGGCUUGAGGGAUACCUGCUGGGUACCGGGCCAGGCGCUACAGCAGCGGCCCCACAGGAACUGGCGCCGUUUUCCUUGGCCUCUACCUGAAAUGCAUUGCUUUUUUAUUACAGGGCCUGUUCUAAAAGCAGGCUUUCAGGUUUAAGGACCCUGAUAUUUAAGAGCUAUGUAGCAUGUGAUAUGGAGGAAAAAUUAAGUUUCAGGGACUGAGAAAAUUUAACUCAUUUCACUUGCUAUUGAGCUUACCAAGCUUGAAAGAAGAAUGUGAUAAUCUACUUUGCCAUCAAGCCAUAAUAGCAUUUUUUAAGACAUUAGGCAGUUACUGUUUACUGCCUAAUACACUUCAAAUUUUUCUUUUUUUUUUCCGAUAUCCAGAAUAUGUUAAUGUAUAGCCUGAAUACCCUAACGAUGUUCAAAAUGAUGCCAGUGUGCGUACUCAAAAGGUGAAUGUGUGUGUUACGAACAGUAAGCAAAACAGAAGUGAGCUGAGACAUUUCUUGUAUUUAAUCUUGGUUUCUGGCUUUGCCUGUGGUUUUGAACAAAAUACUCGACUUUUUGCCUUCCUGCUGUUGCCCCCCCACCUUACCCCUCAUAUUCAAAUGAGAACAAAACUUAUGUCACAGGAACGCUGGGAACAUUUUUUUUUUAAGAAAGAAAUUUCUGUGCAACAUGAAACAUUAUUAAAGGAGACACUGCAUACUUUAUAGAGAAGCCCUUGUAAAAGAAAAACAGAAUUCAGAAGAACAACUCAUCCUUCCCCCCAAAAUGAAAAGAUGAAGAUUUGUGAUGAAGAAUCACAAAUAUGAGGUGCAUCCCAGUUUGUAUCCUUGUGAGGACUUCUUCUAUGAUUCAGAAAUAAGCAGUAGGAGCAUUCAGUGAUUUCCAUGAGAGGAAGAUAAAAACCAUCAAGGCCCCAGUUCUCUGCCAUCUUGAGCCUUUCGUGGUAAUUUGCUGCAGCACAGAUAAGUGUGAAACACUGAGAGACUGAAAACAGUGUUUAAACCUGACUUCACUUCAGUGUAAAUGAUCACACAAGGGUCAGAUCAACAGAGAAAAAGGGUAAAAUAGCAAAAGCACGUAAAAUGCCUCUUUUGAAAGUAAUUUUUGAGUAAAGAUGAAGCAGCUGUAUAAAAAAGCCUUUUCUCCACAUACAUCUGUUUACGUAUCCUAACAGAAGAUGACGGACCACAUUAUCUUAUAUGCAAGAUUAUAUCUUAGAUUCAUCAAGCAUGCUAAAAGGAAGAAGCAAAUUAUAUCUGAUACAAAGUUUUUAUCCAAGGAGAAUAAAUGGGUUAAGUUUAAACGGUGGUUUGAAAAUACAGGAAAGCAUUGCUGGACUGCUGACAGCUUGAUUUUGUUGCUGAAGUGGAUGCAAGCUUCUUGCGAAUUUUUUGGCAUGUCCGGAUGUCUUCAGGGAUUUCUGUACUUUGCCCAACUAUAGACGUGAGCUGGUACACGUACAUGUUAUGGUGCUAGACGUUGCAGAUGAGCUGGCUGGCUUGGGUCAUGAAACAGGAUUUUGUCUAGUAUUGCAUUUCCUGAGGCAUCUCACAGUAUGUUAUUUCAGGAGGGAAAAAAAGGCCUUGCCAAGAAUCUCUCAAUGUCAAUCACCAACACCAUCAAUAACAAGUUGUUUUGGGAAGUAGAUCUGCUUUUCUAAAGCAAGGAAGCAAGGCACCUACUUUGCAGUAGCUCGUCAAGACAAAAGAGUGUUUAGCACACAACGGAUCAGGCUGGGAGAACGUUUACUCCCAUCCCUUCUGGCUAGCUGUUGAAUUUUUACUUCCUGCUGCCGCCUCCUCCAGUUUUGUAUUAAUAGAUAAGAUAAAACAUCAACCCAGAGGAAAACAAAUGCACAGAGAAGAAGCCAUGGAGACAAAAAGGAGCAGAAAGACAGAAGAAAUAGGAGAAAGCAGCGAACUGAGGACCAUAAGGUUUGAAAAGAGGCCUUUACGGGCAAGCUUAUAGAUAUAAUGCCAUUUGCUUUGCACUGGUGCAGAGUACUUGUGGGUUUUGUGCAGAGCAUUCCUCCUGGAGCAGGUCUGUCCUUCAGCAGCUCACUUUCCUCAUUUCCAUUAACACCUGUGCCUUUGGCAAUGAAAAAGUUGUACAGACUUUUGCUUAUGGAGCUAAACUACCUGCUGUAUGUACAGCUUGGGUUCAGGGAGUAGAGCAUACACUGACAUGCAGCAACAUUUUGAUAUAACAUCAAACGUGCAUCAGGGAGGAAAGCGCUAAUAUCGUUUAAAUCAAUAAAUGUAAUUGUCAUUUUUGUCCUUUUAGCUUCUGAUGAGCUACUAACAAAGGUUUGUGCUAUUGAUGGCCACUCUUGGCCACUAGAUAUUUAAACUUCUUAUAGAUGGGUAGUGAUAGUUCUUGAAAGCCAGCAGUUACAAUGCUAUAGGAGAAACAGCUUAACAAAAUAAACUAGCCAUUUCCACCUAUGCAGGUUAAUGGAGUCUAAAAUGAAUAAGAUUUACAUUCAUCCUGGCUACACUCCAGACUGUGUGAGGAAUGGCAGUAUUCCCUAAAUUACUGCAAAAGAUGGAAUACGAUUUAAUGCCCAAGAGUCCAUACAAGACCUGUACUGCCAUGUCUCACUCAUUUUCAUACUCUUAAACAUCCCAUUGACAGACAACGUCAACACACACAUGUGAGAAACCUAUCAGGAAGAUUUGUCUUUAAAGGGGCGUUUAAAAAGCCAGGCAGUUAGAUGCAUACAUUUUUUUGGGUAAUAAAGACCUAAGGGUUUUGUUAGUAGCUGUUAAAGAAUAAGCUCAGAAUAAACUGUUGAAGCCGGUACAGA